rnacentral:sRNA from 1 species
GUGUAGUGCGAGUGGGGCGGACGCGCGCAGCCCGCCCGCCCGGCGACCAGCAAGGAGUUGGCAUCCUUUGGAAGAGUUGGUGAAACCUUUCUGCCCAGAGCUCCUGGACCAAUGCAUCUUCCCACCACCUUAAACCACUGAGCAGUUCAGAGCCCCAGUUGCAGACGACUUGUCCUGCCACCACCAUGAGUUCUGAAUGUGAUGGUGGUUCCAAAGCUGUGGUGAAUGGCUUGGCACCUGGCAGCAAUGGGCAAGACAAAGACAUGGAUCCUACAAAAAUCUGCACUGGGAAGGGAGCAGUGACUCUCCGGGCCUCGUCUUCCUACAGGGAAACCCCAAGCAGUAGCCCUGCGAGCCCUCAGGAAACCCCGCAACACGAAAGCAAACCAGAUGAGUGGAGGCUUUCUUCCAGUGCUGAUGCCAAUGGAAAUGCCCAGCCCUCUUCACUCGCUGCCAAGGGCUACAGAAGUGUGCAUCCCAACCUUCCUUCCGACAAGUCCCAGGUUCUCUCUGCCCCACGCCCUCCUCUCCUUCAAAAGGACCGCUUUGCAUGGCAGUCCCCCACCAUCCACAAUACCUACAAGGAUUCCCUCUACCUGAGCUCACCAAAGCCUUAUGUCCCACUUGCCACCCCCAGCCAGCAGAACCCCUCACAACCCCAGCCCAGCUCUGUCCUCCUGGCAGCUGAAUCGGCUCCCAAAGGUGUGGUGUGCCCUGGUUCCUUGCUUCCGGACUCCACAUUGCCCAGUGCUUCAUCCCAACCCCAGCAGCGCUAUGCAGCCACCAGGACAGUUUAUCAUAAGAAUGUGAGCUCUAACCCAUGUCAUGAGGCAGUUGGGAUUAAAAAGGUCAGCAGCUUAUAUGUACCUUGUUUAUCCAAUAACAUUUGCCUGGCGGCGUCAGAAAACUCCUCUCGUGUUGCACGUGACCCUGCCGAAGGCACUCCCUCGGAGGCUGCAGGCACCCGAGCACCGGCUCCCGGCCUUGUCUCCCGCACAGCCGGCACAGGAAAACCACCCCCUGCUCCUCCUCCUGACCCUCCCAAGCUAUUCUUUGACAUCCGUAAAGAUGCCGUUAACCGUGGCGAGAGUCCUUCCCUGGGGACUCGGGCUUCGUUCCCAGAUGUGAGACCACCUGUGCUAGGCCCCCGGGUUACCUCUGAUCCCGAAAACCGGAAGAGCAAAGAAUCUUACCUUUUGCAGCCGAGUUAUCCAGCCAAGGAUGCCACUUCCUCCAGUGCAGCCCAGCCGGAGGUAAUAGUUGUCCCUCUCUACCUGGUUAAUACUGACAGAGGGCAAGAAGGCACUGCCAGACCUCCAGCACCUCUGGGGCAUCUUGGCUGCGUCCCCACAAUCCCAGCGACCGCCUCUGCCGCCUCACCUCUGACCUUCCCGACUCUAGAUGAUUUCAUUCCCCCUCAUCUGCAGAGGUGGCCCCACCACAGCCAGCCAGCCCGCGCCUCUGGCUCCUUUGCCCCCAUUAGCCAGACGCCACCAUCCUUCUCACCACCACCUCCGCUGGUCCCUCCUGCCCCGGAGGACGUCCGCAGAGUCUCGGAGCCUGACCUCACGGGAGCUGUUUCGAGUACCGAUUCCAGUCCUCUACUAAAUGAAGUUUCUUCUUCACUUAUUGGAACUGAUUCCCAAGUCUUUCCACCAGUUAGCAAGCCUUCAUCCGCCUAUCCCUCCACAACAAUUGUCAAUCCUACUAUUGUGCUCUUGCAACACAAUCGAGAACAGCAAAAACGACUCAGUAGCCUUUCAGAUCCUGUCUCAGAAAGAAGAGUGGGAGAGCAGGACUCAGCACCAACCCAGGAAAAACCCACCUCACCUGGCAAGGCUGCUGAAAAAAGAGCAAAGGAUGACAGUAGGCGGGUGGUGAAGAGCACUCAGGACUUAAGCGAUGUUUCCAUGGAUGAAGUGGGCAUCCCACUCCGGAACACUGAGAGAUCAAAAGACUGGUACAAGACUAUGUUUAAACAGAUACACAAACUAAACAGAGAUGAUGAUUCAGAUCUGUACUCUCCCAGAUACUCGUUUUCUGAAGACACAAAAUCUCCCCUUUCCGUGCCUCGCUCAAAAAGUGAGAUGAGCUACAUUGAUGGUGAGAAGGUAGUCAAGAGGUCGGCCACACUACCCCUCCCAGCCCGCUCUUCCUCACUGAAGACAAGCCCAGAAAGAAAUGACUGGGAACCCCCAGAUAAGAAAGUAGAUACAAGAAAAUAUCGUGCAGAGCCCAAAAGCAUUUACGAAUAUCAGCCGGGCAAGUCUUCCGUUCUGACCAACGAAAAGAUGAGCUCAGCCAUCAGCCCUACUCCAGAAAUUUCUUCAGAGACUCCUGGAUAUAUAUAUUCUUCCAACUUCCAUGCAGUGAAGAGGGAAUCAGAUGGGGCUCCUGGGGAUCUCACUAGCUUGGAGAAUGAGAGACAAAUUUAUAAAAGUGUCUUGGAAGGUGGUGACAUCCCUCUUCAGGGCCUGAGUGGGCUCAAGCGACCAUCCAGCUCUGCUUCCACUAAAGAUUCAGAAUCGCCAAGACAUUUUAUACCAGCUGAUUACUUGGAAUCCACAGAAGAAUUUAUUCGAAGACGUCAUGAUGAUAAAGAGAAACUUUUAGCGGACCAGAGACGACUUAAGCGCGAGCAAGAAGAGGCUGAUAUUGCAGCUCGACGCCACACAGGCGUCAUUCCGACGCACCAUCAGUUUAUCACUAAUGAGCGCUUUGGGGACCUCCUCAAUAUAGACGAUACUGCAAAAAGGAAAUCUGGAUGAGACCUGCCAGAGCCAAAUUUGACUUUAAAGCUCAGACACUAAAGGAGCUUCCUCUGCAGAAGGGAGAUAUUGUUUACAUUUAUAAGCAAAUUGAUCAGAACUGGUAUGAAGGAGAACACCACGGCCGGGUGGGAAUCU